ACACACACUGUCUCUAUCCACACUGAUAACAAUGUGCUUCCCUCCACACAUGACAGGUAUUAAAACUGUUAUAUGGUAAGCAACAUCUAUAAUAGUGCAAUCCUGUCGUGCUAGAGACAGCUGCACUCACCCGCGCUCCUUCUCGCGUAAACUCGGGGUUCAGUUUCUGUUUAUUUUAACAGAUCAUCCCGCACCAAUCGGACAAACACGGGAAAUCAGCUAGCUGUAUCGGUGUGACUGAUGGACACGAUCCUCGCCGGUGUGCGCUUUAAGUAACUCGUUAGCAAAUCAAUUCAGUUCCUUUAGCGACAGUUCACGCAAUUCACACUCACUUUACACGUUCAAUGAAGUCAAUUCACUUGCGGUUAGAGGGGGGAGUUGAAAUACCUGACCCGUGUUAGUGUCCCGGAAUUACAGAGGGUCAGCUGGCAAGCCUACCUGCAACACAUACCUGCUGUGCUCACUGAACACUGACAAAUACCUAUCCGUACCGGACUGGACCGCGACCCGCACCCUGCUGCCCUGUGCGGGGACAGGCACAGUCAUAAAGCAUAUUACAGCUUCGUGAACACUGGAACCACUGCGGCUCACAGAAUAAACGCCGUGCUUUGUACUCGACCAUGGAGUAGAUCGCUGCCUUCUCUCCUGCGGCGUGCUUACACAGGGCUGGUCAGAGAACUACAGAUCCCACAAUCCUCGCUGGUGUCUCGCUCAGAGGAAGGGGAAUGUUAACACGUGUUUCAACAGGAAGGUAGCUCCGCUUCGGCUUGGAAGAGAAACAGAGUAAUGAAUUAUUAAAUUGGUGGACCAGGUGUGUUCCGUGUGAGCGGGAUGAGUUUGAAACGAGGCAUCUAGCUUUACAAACCGCUAACAGGAAAACAAAACGUCUUUCAAGAGGCAUUGAGACAGCCGUGCCACCUGCUGGAGAAGGCUGCAGCAUUGCACUCUGGGAGCAUUCAGAGCAAGUACCCGGUGGCUGUGGUGAAGAUA